rnacentral:rRNA from 1 species
GACGAACGCUGGCGGCGUGCCUAAUACAUGCAAGUCGAGCGCAGGAAGCUGACGGAACUCUUCGGAGGGAAGGCAGUGGAAUGAGCGGCGGACGGGUGAGUAACACGUAAGGAACCUGCCUCAAGGAUUGGGAUAACUCCGAGAAAUCGGAGCUAAUACCGGAUAGUUCAUCGGACCGCAUGGUCCGUUGAUGAAAGGCGCUUCGGCGUCACCUUGAGAUGGCCUUGCGGUGCAUUAGCUAGUUGGUGGGGUAACGGCCCACCAAGGCGACGAUGCAUAGCCGAACUGAGAGGGUGAUCGGCCACACGGGGACUGAGACACGGCCCAGACUCCUACGGGAGGCAGCAGUAGGGAAUCUUCCACAAUGGACGAAAGUCUGAUGGAGCAACGCCGCGUGAGUGAUGAAGGUUUUCGGAUCGUAAAACUCUGUUGUAAGGGAAGAACACGUACGAGAGGGAAUGCUCGUACCUUGACGGUACCUUACGAGAAAGCCACGGCUAACUACGUGCCAGCCGCCGCCGUAA